rnacentral:rRNA from 1 species
UACGGAGGGGGCGAGCGUUAUUCGGAAUUAUUGGGCGUAAAGGGCGCGUAGGCGGCUGUACAAGUCAAAGGUGAAAUCCCUCGGCUCAACUGAGGAACUGCCUUUGAAACUGUACGGCUUGAGGCCGGGAGGGGGUAGCGGAAUUCCAGGUGUAGCGGUGAAAUGCGUAGAUAUCUGGAGGAACACCGGUGGCGAAGGCGGCAUCCUGGACCGGUAUUGACGCUGAGGCGCGAAAGCCAGGGGAGCAAACGGG